rnacentral:rRNA from 1 species
CAAUAGCGUAUAUUAAAGUUGUUGCGGUUAAAAAGCUCGUAGUUGGAUUUCUGCCGAGGACGACCGGUCCGCCCUCCGGGUGAGUAUCUGGCUCGGCCUGGGCAUCUUCUUGGAGAACGUAGCUGCACUUGGCUGUGUGGUGCGGUAUUCAGGACUUUUACUUUGAGGAAAUUAGAGUGUUUCAAGCAGGCACACGCCUUGAAUACAUUAGCAUGGAAUAAUAAGAUAGGACCUCGGUUCUAUUUUGUUGGUUUCUAGAUCUGAGGUAAUGAUUAAUAGGGAUAGUUGGGGGCAUUCGUAUUUAACUGUCAGAGGUGAAAUUCUUGGAUUUAUGAAAGACGAACUACUGCGAAAGCAUUUGCCAAGGAUGUUUUCAUUAA